rnacentral:rRNA from 1 species
UACGGAGGGUGCAAGCGUUGCUCGGAAUUAUUGGGCGUAAAGGGUAGGUAGGUGGUCUCAUUUGUCUGAGGUGAAAGCCUUGGGCUUAACCCGAGAAGGGCCUCAGAAACGGUGAGACUCGAGUACUGGAGAGGGUCGUGGAAUUCCCGGUGUAGCGGUGAAAUGCUUAGAUAUGACACAGAACACCAAUUGCGAAGGCAGCUCACAAAACUGUAACUGACACUGAGGCACGAAAGCGUGGGGAUCAAACAGG